CUUGGUCAUUUAGAGGAAGUAAAAGUCGUAACAAGGUUUCCGUAGGUGAACCUGCGGAAGGAUCAUUCACAAACGAGUGUUUUAUGGCACUCUUUAAAAAUCCAUAUCCACCUUGUGUGCAAUGUUUGUUGGGAAAGUCUUUUCUUUCCCUUCAUAAAUAUCAACCUAUAUCUUUAACAACAUUCGUCUGAUAACAUAUUAUGAAUAUACUUAAUUCAAAAUAUAACUUUCAACAACGGAUCUCUUGGCUCUCGCAUCGAUGAGGAACGCAGCGAAAUGCGAUACGUAAUGUGAAUUGCAGAAUUCAGUGAAUCAUCGAAUCUUUGAACGCAUAUUGCGCUCUUUGGUAUUCCGAAGAGCAUGCUUGUUUGAGUAUCAGUAAACACCUCAACCUCUCUUUUUUGAUAAAAAAAAGGGAGGGUGGACUUGAGCUAUCCCAACGACCUUCACCGGUAGGCGGGCGGCUUGAAAUGCAGGUGCAGCUGGACUUUUAUCUGAGCUAAAAGCAUAUCUAUUUAGUCCUCGUCAAACAGGAUUAUUACUUUUGCUGCAGCUAACAUAAAGGAUAAUUGUCCUCUUUGCUGACUGAUGCAGGAUUUUACGACACUUUAUGUGUUGUUCAACUCGAUCUCAAAUCAAGUAAGACUACCCGCUGAACUUAAGCAUAUCAAUAAGCGGAGGAAAAGAAACUAACAAGGAUUCCCCUAGUAACGGCGAGUGAAGCGGGAUGAGCUCAAAUUUGAAAUCUGGCUGGUUUACUAGUCCGAGUUGUAAUUUAAAGAAGCGUUUUCGGUGGCAGCCUGGGUAUAAAUCCUUUGGAAUAGGGUAUCAUAGAGGGUGAGAAUCCCGUCUUUGACCUAGUGCAUGCUACUAUGUGAUACGUUUUCAAAGAGUCGAGUUGUUUGGGAAU
rnacentral:sRNA from 1 species